AUUUCUGUAUCUUAAUUUUUAGUUUUACUUUUUAUUAUUGCUAGCCUAUGAUGGGCUAAAUCUCUAGUGUUGAACUAUAGCAGAAUAUGUUACAUGUAUGAAAUAAUAUUUUGUUAUGAAAACAAGAAUUGUAAAUCUCCAUUAUUGCAGAGAUCUAUAUGUUAAGAUGCUACAGUUAUGAGUUUAAUCUUGACAUUUAUAUCGGAUGUCCCUGUAAAGGUCAAUUAGCUAGGUGGGCGUAGAAGGCUGUAAUUGAGGCUUGGUUUAAAAUUAGGCUCAUGACUAAGGUUUAAUAACACGUAGUAAAGGUACCAAGUGCAACAAUGGAGCGAUCCAGUUUUUCUUUGGUAUCAUAGCCUCAUUUAUUUAAUAUUAAUUUUUAUUUUUAAAAUUUAAUAUGAUUAUGUGAUCACUUAUGAAAUUCAAUAGAAACUAAUAAUUAUACUGUAAUUAUAUUGUGACAAACAUGUAUAUCAUCAUAAUUACUAGGCUAUUAAAUUACAACAAUUCUAAUUAUGACAAAAAUAAAAAAACUAAAAAAGAAUUUAUCACAUUUGCCCAUUAAAACUUAAACCUUUGUCCCUUUUAAUUGCAUUUCCCUUAUUCAACACAAAAUGAGCCGUUGUAAUUUGCAAACUACUUAUUACUUAUGCUGCUGCUUCUUUCCAACAACAACAACAAGAAGAAGAUAUAACUUGCCAAAUACUAUCCCUUUUCGUCGACGGAGGAAGAUUGACGGAGGGAUUUAGGAAAUACAUUGAUGGAGGAAGAUUAUGAUUCCUGUACCUCAAUCAAGAUUCAAUGUUUUAGCAAAGAAGUUUGGAGCUGCUAUCGUUACUCUGAAGCAUCAGUAUUAUGGGAAGAGUUCACCCUUUAAGUCUUUAACAACUGGGAAUCUGAAAUAUCUGUCAUCAAAACAGGCACUUUUUGACUUAGCGGCUUUCAGGAAUUUCUAUCAGGAGUCCUUGAACGUGAAACUCAACAGAUCCAAUAUUGAAAACCCAUAGUUUGUCUUCGGUGUUUCAUACGCAGGAGCACUUAGUGCAUGGUUUUGCCUGACCUUUCCUCACCUAGCUUGUGGAAGCCUUGCACGCUCAACAAUAGCUCAAACAGUUUACUGCUUCUCAGAGUUUGACAGGCAGAAUGCUUAUGCCCCCUAUGCAAAGGAAUAUUACAUUUAGACUUUUGGGGUCAGCGUCAAAACAUACGAUCAGGAAAAUCUAACGAACACUGCUGUAAACAGAGAUACUUCUGACCGCUUGUGGUGGUUCCAGAUCUGCACAGAAGUUGCAUAUUUUCAGGCUCUUGUGAGUCCACUCCUUCUUGAUGAUUCUGUUGAAGAUGGAGAGGCUAAUUGCUUAAGCGACACUCCAUAAGAUGAGCAAACUGAUCUUGAAGUUGAACAUUUGAGCGAGGAUUUUAAUUGUGCUUACAACCGUCUUAAAGAUAUUGAUCCAUUUGCAGCCACCAAAAUUCAUCCAAAUAAUGGCUGAAAGGUGUAGUGAUGUUUUGCUUCAUAUGACUUAUAAUUUUAUUUGCAUGAUGCUUUUAGCUGAAACCUUUCGGCCUGACAUGUUGAUUUGACUAUCUAAUAGGAACUUGCUUCUUUAUUCUAACAUAUAACAACUACAAAUCCAUCGAUAACAUAAAUUGGGUUUGAUUUUGCACAUUGCUUCAACUUGCAAGCUUAUGCACCGACAUGUUAAUAUGUAACAGCUUCAUGUGUAAUCUUGCAUUGUUGAUUUUGUUAUUAGGACUGAGUUCAUUUGUAUUGAGGAUUUCUAUGUCCUGGAAUGUAUCGUGAGCUGUUCUUGUGAUUUCUGGUCUCUGAACCUAUAUAUUCAGACAUCAAUGUUGUUAUGGCAAUGCUUUGUUUGUCUGAACUGAUGAUUAAUAGUGACUGUGUUAAAACUAAUUAUUUUUAUCCUACAAAAUAUGCAGCCUCUGAGGUGGAAUGUGAAAGUAAUAAUGCUUUAUGUAGACUUGUGCUUCCUAUCUAUUGUAUAGAUGCUACGGUUGAUGUAUCUAUUGCCAAAACCUGCAGAUCAACCAAUACCUUAGAUUGUAUGUAUGAUUUAUUUUUAUUCCAAGCAAACUUCUUCAAGAGAGGACUGUAGAGGUGCGUGCUUCUUGUUCACUUAUUGAUUUUACUUAUUUAAAUUUGUAUUAAGUGUAUUGAUUUCUAUUGAUAGUAAGAUUUGCAGUUUGCAAAUAGUAUAGCUACUAUGUAUUAUUUUAGAGUGUCAUUAGGUGUAUAGCUAGCUGAUCUGUUUCCUAUUAAUCAUGUGAUGUCUCCAGUAUGAAGAUUUGGGACAAUUUGCAAUGAUCUCAAAAACUGAAAGUGAGUUAAUUGAUUAAUGUUAAAAAUGGAUCUGCAAUUUUUGGAGUACUUCACAUUUUCAUAAAGUAUAGCUGACUACUUGAAGAAAGCAUUACUUGUCAUCAGUUACGCAGAUUGAACAUCAGUUGGAUUGAUCCACAACUUAGAGGCAUUCCAAGUGUUGCGCACGGUAUAGGAAUCUGUCACAAAAUAUAUGUAAGAUAUAGUGAAUUUAUUUAUUAAAUAAUUUUCAAUAUAACUAUUACCUUGAAAUUUAUGUGCAUGUAUGAGUUGUAGAGCAACAACAACAGGUUAGUUAUCAGAAGUUAGAAGUUGAGGAAUAAUUUGUUCAACAAACUCUCCCCAAAAAGUACAUGAUAGCCUGUUGUUUAUGCAAAAAGAACUUGUAAGAUAGAACUUUUAUUGAUAUUAUAAUAUAAAGUUUAUAAAUAAUCAACAUAUGAUUUUUUUUCU